AUUGAACGCUGGCGGCACGCCUUACACAUGCAAGUCGAACGGCAGCACGGGGCAACCUGGUGGCGAGUGGCGAACGGGUGAGUAAUGCAUCGGAACGUGCCAUUGAGUGGGGGAUAACGUAGCGAAAGUUGCGCUAAUACCGCAUAUUCUGUGAGCAGGAAAGCAGGGGACCGCAAGGCCUUGCGCUCUUUGAGCGGCCGAUGUCAGAUUAGCUAGUUGGUGAGGUAACGGCUUACCAAGGCGACGAUCUGUAGCGGGUCUGAGAGGAUGAUCCGCCACACUGGAACUGAGACACGGUCCAGACUCCUACGGGAGGCAGCAGUGGGGAAUUUUGGACAAUGGGCGCAAGCCUGAUCCAGCCAUGCCGCGUGAGUGAAGAAGGCC
rnacentral:rRNA from 1 species